rnacentral:rRNA from 1 species
GACAGAGGCCUCAAGCGUUAGGCGGAAUCACUGGGCUUAAAGCGUGUGUAGGCGGGUCGUUAAGUACCUUGUGAAAUCCCACGGCUCACCCGUGGAACUGCUGGGUAUACUGGCGAUCUUGGGCCAUUCAGGGGCAACUGGAACAAGCGGUGGAGCGGUGAAAUGCGUAGAGAUCGGAAAGAACACCAACGGCGAAAGCACUCUGCUGGGCCGACACUGACACUGAGAGACGAAAGCUAGGGGAGCGAAUGGG